AUUGAACGCUGGCGGCAGGCCUAACACAUGCAAGUCGAGCGGAGCGGCGGACGGGCGGGUGAUGCCUAGGUAUCUGCCUGGUCGUGGUGGAUGACGUCCGGAAACGGGCGCUGAUACCGCACCAUCUCAGUCGAGGCUAGGUCGGAUUAGCUAGUUGGUGGGGUAAAGGCCUACCAAGGCGACGCUCCGUAGCUGGUCUGAGAGGAUGAUCAGUCACACUGGGACUGAGACACGGUCCAGACUCCUACGGGAGGCAGCAGUGGGGAAGAUGGGACAAUGGGAGAAAGCCUGAUCCAGCCAUGCCGCGUGUGUGAAGAAGGUCUUCGGGUUGUAAAGCACUUUAAGUUGGGAGGCGUUACCAACAGAAUAAGCACCGGCUAACUUCGUGCCAGCAGCCGCGGUAAUUC
rnacentral:rRNA from 1 species